GGGCGGUUAGCUCAGUUGGCUAGAGCGAAUGAUUGACGUUCAUUAGGUCAGAGGUUCGACUCCUCUACCGCCCACCA
rnacentral:tRNA from 1 species